rnacentral:rRNA from 1 species
CAGUCGCCGCGGUAAAACGUAGGUGGCAAGCGUUGUCCGGAAUUAUUGGGCGUAAAGGGCUCGCAGGCGGUUUCUUAAGUCUGAUGUGAAAGCCCCCGGCUCAACCGGGGAGGGUCAUCGGAAACUGGGAAACUUGAGUGCAGAAGAGGAGAGUGGAAUUCCACGUGUAGCGGUGAAAUGCGUAGAGAUGUGGAGGAACACCAGUGGCGAAGGCGACUCUCUGGUCUGUAACUGACGCUGAGGAGCGAAAGCGUGGAGAGCGAACAGGAUUAGAUACCCCAGUAGUCCCUGUCUCUUAUAC